rnacentral:rRNA from 1 species
UAACGCGAAGAACCUUACCAGGUCUUGACAUCCUUUGAAGCUUUUAGAGAUAGAAGUGUUCUCUUCGGAGACAAAGUGACAGGUGGUGCAUGGUCGUCGUCAGCUCGUGUCGUGAGAUGUUGGGUUAAGUCCCGCAACGAGCGCAACCCUUAUUGUUAGUUGCCAGCAUUCAGUUGGGCACUCUAGCGAGACUGCCGGUGACAAACCGGAGGAAGGCGGGGACGACGUCAAAUCAUCAUGCCCCUUAUGACCUGGGCUACACACGUGCUACAAUGGAUGGUACAACGAGUUGCGAACUCGCGAGAGUAAGCUAAUCUCUUAAAGCCAUUCUCAGUUCGGAUUGUAGGCUGCAACUCGCCUACAUGAAGUCGGAAUCGCUAGUAAUCGCGGAUCAGC